AGAAAACCUCUCACCCUCCACCCGCCACCACCAUGGGGCACUUCAGAGUGACACCUGUAUCGGCGCAAGGCUCUCCAGUGGCACCCAGACAAAAACCCAGAUAAUAAAGAGUUUGCUGAGAAGAAAUUUAAGGAGGUGGCCGAGGCAUAUGAAGUGCUGUCUGACAAGCACAAGCGGGAGAUUUACGACCGCUAUGGCCGGGAAGGGCUGACAGGGACAGGAACUGGCCCAUCUCGGGCAGAAGCUGGCAGUGGUGGGCCUGGCUUCACCUUCACCUUCCGCAGCCCCGAGGAGGUCUUCCGGGAAUUCUUUGGGAGUGGAGACCCUUUUGCAGAGCUCUUUGAUGACCUGGGCCCCUUCUCAGAGCUUCAGAACCGGGGUUCCCGACACUCAGGCCCCUUCUUUACCUUCUCUUCCUCCUUCCCUGGGCACUCCGAUUUCUCCUCCUCAUCUUUCUCCUUCAGUCCUGGGGCUGGUGCUUUUCGCUCUGUUUCUACAUCUACCACCUUUGUCCAAGGACGCCGCAUCACCACACGCAGAAUCAUGGAGAAUGGGCAGGAGCGGGUGGAAGUGGAGGAGGAUGGGCAGCUGAAGUCAGUCACAAUCAAUGGUGUCCCAGAUGACCUGGCACUGGGCUUGGAGCUGAGCCGUCGCGAGCAGCAGCCGUCAGUCACUUCCAGGUCUGGGGGCACUCAGGUCCAGCAGACCCCUGCCUCAUGCCCCUUGGACAGCGACCUCUCUGAGGAUGAGGACCUGCAGCUGGCCAUGGCCUACAGCCUGUCAGAGAUGGAGGCAGCUGGGAAGAAA
rnacentral:sRNA from 1 species